GACGAGCCUCACAAACGUUAUUCGGAAUUACUGGGCGUAAAGGGCUCGUAGGCGGCCAACUAAGUCAGACGUGAAAUCCCUCGGCUUAACCGGGGAACUGCGUCUGAUACUGGAUGGCUUGAGUUUGGGAGAGGGAUGCGGAAUUCCAGGUGUAGCGGUGAAAUGCGUAGAUAUCUGGAGGAACACCGGUGGCGAAGGCGGCAUCCUGGACCAACACUGACGCUGAGUGAGCGAAAGCCAGGGGAGCAAACGGG
rnacentral:rRNA from 1 species